AUUGAACGCUGGCGGCAUGCCUUACACAUGCAAGUCGAACGGCAGCACGGGUGCUUGCACCUGGUGGCGAGUGGCGAACGGGUGAGUAAUACAUCGGAACGUACCUUAUCGUGGGGGAUAACGCAGCGAAAGCUGUGCUAAUACCGCAUACGCCCUGAGGGGGAAAGCGGGGGAUCGCAAGACCUCGCGCGAUUAGAGCGGCCGAUGCCUGAUUAGCUAGUUGGUGGGGUAAAAGCCCACCAAGGCGACGAUCAGUAGUUGGUCUGAGAGGACCAUCAGCCCCACGGGGACUGCGACACGGACCAGAAUCCUACGGGGGGAAGCAGGGGGGAAUUCUGGACAAUGGGGGCCACCCUGAUCCAGCAUUGCCGCGUGAGUGAAGAAGGCAUUCGGGUUGUAAAGCUCUUUUGUCAGGGAAGAAACACCGGCUCUAACACAGUCCGGGAAUGACGGUACCUGAAGAAUAAGCACCGGCUAACUACGUGCCAGCCGCCGCGGUAA
rnacentral:rRNA from 1 species